CCAGCCCCUGGGAGUCAUCCUUUUGAUUUGAUUCAGUCUAUGGCUGUUAUGGAUUGGACCUUGGAAGUCCCCCGAAGGCUCUUGUGUGAAAAGCUUGGUCCCUGACCUGUAUUAUAUUGGGAGGUGCUGUGGACCUUUAGGAGGAGGGAACUAGCAGAAAGACGUUAGGUCACUGGCAGCGUGUCCUUGAAGGGGACAUCGGAACCCUGGAAUCUUUCUCUGCUUCCUGGCAACCAUGAUCUAAACAGCUUUGUUCCUCCAUGCACUCCCUGCCACGUUCUGCUUCACCACUGGCCCAAAAACUAUGGUAACCACUCUCUGCCCCUCCCUGUGGAAGUGGGUGGGCCUUUGCAGCAGCCCCCACUAGGGAGAAGUCAUGUCAUGGCCUCUGAAGUUGGAUCCUGAAAGGUCCUACAGCCCCACAUAAGUCCAUGAACCCGAGGAGCUACCACGUCCACCUGGAGAGACCACACAUUGGUGAGAGACGCCAAGCAGCCCCAGACCAGGGUCCAGUGUAGACCUCAGGUUGAAAUGUCAGAAGCCAACCCCAGGGCUGUCCUCACUGCUCACAGCCACAGCAUUCCCCACAGUGCUCCUGGGCUGUCUCAAGAUCGUCUGGGGCACAGGUGAGCUCAGCUGGCCUUGUACUACAUCCCAUACUGCUUUAGUCAACAGCACAAGCAUGGGACUUAUACCAUACAAUUGUCUUCAAGGUUAGUUUCCCACAAGCAGGACUACAAGAAAGGGCCAGUGUCUUGGGCCAGUAUAGCCACCCUCCCCACAUAGGCUGCUGCACACACAUGAACACCAUGAGGCCCACCUCCUUGACAAUCUGUUGUCCAAUGGAACAGAUCUAGUACUAACCUUUGCAAGCACAAGGCAGGUUUAGGCUCCUGGUUACAAAGAUCUGCUAUCUUCUGCUAUUAAGGAUAUAGGACAUGUUUGCUUGUGGGUGCUGUCAGCUCCAGUGAGCACUGUGCAGGAGCCCAUGGCGAGGACAACCCGUCACCCCCCAUGCUGGCCCAGGUGACCAACACUCUGGCUGUGCUGAGAACCUUAUCUCACCCACCAGAUCAUCCCAGGAUCCUUGUUGCCCAGGGCAGCCCUGGCAGCUGGCCAGGGACUGCCCCACAGAGCCCUGGCCCUGUGGCAGUGAAGUGGAGCUGCUCUACUGGAACCUGCAGUGUGUGUAUUCAUCAGAGGCCAGGCAGACUGAGUAGCCUUUGUCCAGGCCCAGCAGGAUCCGCCAGGCUGAGCUGGCCUUUUUCCUACUCAAAUACCUUCAAUUGCGCCCACACAGCAGAGAUUAGCAAGAGCUGCCAGCAUGUGCGAUGAGAAAUUCCUGGACUGGCUCAACUGACUGCUG